rnacentral:rRNA from 1 species
GUGCCAGCAGCCGCGGUAAUACGUAGGGGGCAAGCGUUGUCCGGAAUUAUUGGGCGUAAAGAGCGUGUAGGCGGCCAGGUAGGUCUGCUGUGAAAACUCGAGGCUCAACCUCGAGCUGUCGGUGGAAACCAUCUGGCUAGAGUCCGGAAGAGGAGAAUGGAAUUCCUGGUGUAGCGGUGAAAUGCGCAGAUAUCAGGAAGAACACCCGUGGCGAAGGCGGUUCUCUGGGACGGUACUGACGCUGAGACGCGAAAGCGUGGGGAGCAAACAGGAUUAGAUACCCCGGUAGUCC